GACGAACGCUGGCGGCGUGCCUAAUACAUGCAAGUCGAACGCAGUGGGGACGGGUGAGUAACACGUGGGUAAGCUCGCAUCAGAGGGGAUAACACUUGGAAACAGGUGCUAAACCGAUACUGAUGGAUGGAAGGGCGGUGAAUUAGCUAGUUGGGGGGGUAACGGCUCACCAAGGCCACGAUGCAUAGCCGACCUGAGAGGAUGAUCAGCCACACUGGGACUGAGACACGGCCCAGACUCCUACGGGAGGCAGCAGUAGGGAAUAUUCGGCAAUGGACGAAAGUCUGACCGAGCAACGCCGCGUGUGUGAAGAAGGUUUUCGGAUCGUAAAACUCUUUUGUUGGGGAAGCGUUAUCUAACCAGAAAGCCACGGCUAACUACGUGCCAGCAGCCGCGGUAAUUC
rnacentral:rRNA from 1 species